rnacentral:rRNA from 1 species
UGGGGAAUAUUGCACAAUGGGGGAAACCCUGAUGCAGCAACGCCGCGUGGAGGAAGAAGCAUUUCGGUGUGUAAACUCCUUUUAUAUAGGAAGAUAAUGACGGUACUAUAUGAAUAAGCACCGGCUGGUCCGUGCCAG